CACUCCUGCGGGAGGCAGCAGUGGGGAAUAUUGGACAAUGGGCGCAAGCCUGAUCCAGCCAUGCCGCGUGAGUGAUGAAGGCCCUAGGGUUGUAAAGCUCUUUCACCGGUGAAGAUAAUGACGGUAACCGGAGAAGAAGCCCCGGCUAACUUCGUGCCAGCAGCCGCGGUAAUACGAAGGGGGCUAGCGUUGUUCGGAUUUACUGGGCGUAAAGCGCACGUAGGCGGACUAUUAAGUCAGGGGUGAAAUCCCGGGGCUCAACCCCGGAACUGCCUUUGAUACUGGUAGUCUUGAGUUCGAGAGAGGUGAGUGGAAUUCCGAGUGUAGAGGUGAAAUUCGUAGAUAUUCGGAGGAACACCAGUGGCGAAGGCGGCUCACUGGCUCGAUACUGACGCUGAGGUGCGAAAGCGUGGGGAGCAAACAGGAUUAGAAACCCUAGUAGUCCCAUGAU
rnacentral:rRNA from 1 species